UUCAAAUGACAUUUAACAAGAUUACUGAGAUUCUGAGAUUGACAUCGUAAAUAUUUUUUAAAUACUUGAAAGUAUUCUCUGCUAUCGUUGUUCUGUGGCUAUCGUACGCAAGUAUGGCGGCGCCUAAAUACAGGUGUUGUGUGCUAUACUACUAUACUGUGAUGCAACAAGCUCCAAUUAUAGACUAUUUUGCAUGCCCUCAAAUGUUCAUUUAAGGAAUCUAUGGCUGUCGCUAUUGGUUCCGACCAGCCCUAAUUUACUAGGACUAACCGAGAACCAAUUGUUUUAAAAAAAUGUGUCUGUGAAAGACAUUUUGACGAGACUCAAUUCGAUAAAGCUGGUGUUAAAAUACGCUAUUCAUAUCCAUGUCUAUUCACGGAAAUGGAAAUUGCUCUAGGCAUACCUCUUGCUAGGGGUGGAUGACCAUAGUUACUGUCAGGGCUAUGAACAUGAAUCUGAUAAUUCAAUUGGUAAACCAGUUACCAUGACAGGGUCCUUGGCAUAGCGGAUACGUGUGGUACCGUUGUUGCCGGUGAUACCACGUGACACGAUUUUGUGGGUUGUCUGCUAGGACCCCAACAUCUACGAUAAAGAACUCCUCAACCUCUUCGGAUCAGUAUCGGGAUUCUUUCUUCUGGCCGAGCAAAAUUUUUUUAACCUCAGCUGACCUCGUGAUGGAGAUGGAGUCCUGGAAGUUGGACUACUGAACUCGAGAGACUGGCGGGUGAUCAUCCAGGGAGUUUCUGCCAAGCUAUGAGUCAUGGAGACCGCUAUGAUAAGUGACCACAGUUAACCUCCACCCACGUGUCAGAAAUAAUUCGAACCCACAGUGUAGUUUAAAUGAAUAUAUAGAAUGAAAUUAUGAAUAAAAUCUAGAAUUUAUUGAAGUACGGGGUAAAUUAUUGAAAUGGAUAGAAAGCUUUUUAAGACAAAGAACAUUUCGGGUGAAAAUUGGCAACUCAUUUUCUGAUGAAAAAGAAAUAUUGAGCAGCGUGCCCUAAGGUUCUGUGCUUAGUCCGGUCCUAUUUAUUAUUUAUAAGUUUGACUUUCCUAAGUGUUUGACAUGCAAUGUGAGCAUGAUUUGCUGAGGAUACAAAGAUUUUUGCAAAUCCCCUUAAAGCAUCUGAGCGUCUUCAGUCUCACUUAUCGCAAAUAACAAACUGGUCAAAUGAGUGGCUUCUUAAACUGAAUGUGGACCAGUGUAGUGUAUUACAUAUAGGUACUCGAAAUCCUCACCAGCCUUAUGAAAUAGAAGGAAUACUUUUAAAAAAAGUCAGCAAUCAAGUCGACUUGGGUAUACAUAUCACUGAAAACCUUAAAAGGGAGCACCACAUCGCAGCUAUAACUAAAAAGGCAAAUAGCUUCGUCUACAUCAUAAGGAAAGCUUUUGGACAUCUUACACCAUGCAUAGAUAUUCACUUCCAUCAACCAGCUAGAUUGAGGUUUGAUAUUCAGAAGCUAUAUCAAAACCUCAGAAAAUAGAAGUAUCCUCCAGUAUCGUUUCUGAGAUGAUAAACACGAAGAUUCUGAGACUCGAAUGAGCGCAGAGAUCACAAACAUUUUCAUUGUGACAGUCAUUUUACUGAUGAGGACACAGAGGAGCGGUUAUGAUCUAUGCAACGAAAUGAAAUGGAUCUAAAUUUUACUCAAUGUGCUUUACAACAUGAGAUAGUAAAUUUUUGUUUGUC